UACGAAGGGGGCUAGCGUUGUUCGGAAUCACUGGGCGUAAAGGGCGCGUAGGCGGCUUUAUAAGUCGGGGGUGAAAUCCUGGAGCUCAACUCCAGAACUGCCUUCGAUACUGGGGAGCUCGAGUCCGGGAGAGGUGAGUGGAGCUGCGAGUGUAGAGGUGAAAUUCGUAGAUAUUCGCAAGAACACCAGUGGCGAAGGCGGCUCACUGGCCCGGUACUGACGCUGAGGUGCGAAAGCGUGGGGAGCAAACAGG
rnacentral:rRNA from 1 species